rnacentral:tRNA from 1 species
GCGCCGUUAGCUAAGCUGGAUAUAGCGUCGGUCUACGGAACCGAAGGCCAGAGGUUCGAAUCCCCUACGGCGCGCCA